AACGAACGCUGGCGGCAUGCCUAACACAUGCAAGUCGAACGAGACCUUCGGGUCUAGUGGCGCACGGGUGCGUAACGCGUGGGAAUCUGCCCUUGGGUUCGGAAUAACAGUUAGAAAUGACUGCUAAUACCGGAUAAUGUCUUCGGACCAAAGAUUUAUCGCCCAGGGAUGAGCCCGCGUAGGAUUAGCUAGUUGGUGAGGUAAAGGCUCACCAAGGCGACGAUCCUUAGCUGGUCUGAGAGGAUGAUCAGCCACACUGGGACUGAGACACGGCCCAGACUCCUACGGGAGGCAGCAGUGGGGAAUAUUGGACAAUGGGCGAAAGCCUGAUCCAGCAAUGCCGCGUGAGUGAUGAAGGCCUUAGGGUUGUAAAGUCCUUUCGGCGGGGACGAUGAUGACGGUACCCGCAGAAGAAGCCCCGGCUAACUUCGUGCCAGCAGCCGCGGU
rnacentral:rRNA from 1 species